rnacentral:rRNA from 1 species
UGGGGAAUUUUGGACAAUGGGCGAAAGCCUGAUCCAGCAAUGCCGCGUGUGUGAAGAAGGCCUUCGGGUUGUAAAGCACUUUUGUCCGGAAAGAAAAUCCUUGGCUCUAAUACAGUCGGGGGAUGACGGUACCGGAAGAAUAAGCACCGGCUAACUACGUGCCAGCAGCCGCGGUAAUACGUAGGGUGCAAGCGUUAAUCGGAAUUACUGGGCGUAAAGCGUGCGCAGGCGGUUUGCUAAGACCGAUGUGAAAUCCCCGGGCUCAACCUGGGAACUGCAUUGGUGACUGGCAGGCUAGAGUAUGGCAGAGGGGGGUAGAAUUCCACGUGUAGGCAGUGAAAUGCGUAGAGAUGUGGAGGAAUACCGAUGGCGAAGGCAGCCCCCUGGGCCAAUACUGACGCUCAUGCACGAAAGCGUGGGGAGCAAACAGGAUUAGAUACCCUGGUAGUCCACGCCCUAAAACGAUGUCAACUAGUUGUUGGGGAUUCAUUUCCUUAGUAACGUAGCUAACGCGUGAAGUUGACCGCCUGGGGAGUACGGUCGCAAGAUUAAAACUUAAAGGAAUUGACGGGGUCAUAGCUGUUUCCU